rnacentral:lncRNA from 1 species
GCUGACCUCUGAAAUGUUUGAAGCCGACCUCGAGAAGGCGCUGCUGCUGAGUAAGCUGGAGUACGAAGAGCACAGACAGGAUUAUGAAAAUGCUGAAAACGCUUCAACUCAGACAAAAGUUAUAAAUAAAAAAGAUAAAAGAAAGAACCAUCAGGGAAAGGACAAACCUCUCACGGUGUCACUCAAAGAUUUCCAGUGUGAAGAUCAUAUUAGUAAAAAGACAGAGGAAUCGAAUUCUUCUCAGCCUUUAUCACAUGAUGGAGGCUUCUUCAAUAGACUGGAAGAUGAUGUUCAUAAGAUUCUUGUUAGAGAAAAAAGGAGAGAGCAACUUACAGAGCACAACGGAACAGACAACUGUCCUGCCCCAGAGCACAACCAGGAAGUGGGUCUAAAAGAUGGAAGAAUUGAAAGACUGAAGUUAGAACUCGAAA